rnacentral:rRNA from 1 species
CGGGCGUCUUAACAUGCAAGUCGAACGGUAAGGGAGAGCUUGCUCUCCCCUAGAGUGGCGGACUGGUGAGUAACGCGUGGGUGACCUGCCCUGAAGAUGGGGAUAGCUAGUAGAAAUAUUAGAUAAUACCGAAUGUGCUCAUUUACAUAAAGGUAAAUGAGGAAAGGAGCUACGGCUCCGCUUCAGGAUGGGCCCGCGUCCCAUUAGCUGGUUGGUGAGGUAAAGGCCCACCAAGGCAACGAUGGGUAUCCGGCCUGAGAGGGUGAACGGACACAUUGGGACUGAGAUACGGCCCAAACUCCUACGGGAGGCAGCAGCUAAGAAUCUUCCGCAAUGGACGAAAGUCUGACGGAGCGACGCCGUGUGAAUGAAGAAGGCCGAAAGGUUGUAAAAUUCUUUUGCAGAUGAAGAAUAAGAAGAAGAGGGAAUGCUUCUUUGAUGACGGUAGUCAUGCGAAUAAGCCCGGCUA